CUUUCUCCCAACUUCCCAAUCGAAGAAAUCAAUUUGAAACCCUAAAUCCCUAAAUUCCUCCACUGCGAUGUCGCUCUCCUACUCCAACUUCUUCCUCGAUGAUAUCUCUAUACAACGAGGAAACCUCCAACAUCUUAUACGGAGAUUUGCCGGCGGAAAGCUUCUCUGAUGUCGAUUUGUCUCCGCCGUCGGAGGAAGCGUUCGAGCGGCCGAAAUCUACGGGCUUAAUGUACUUGCAGAAAGUAUCCAGGACGAUUCAGAAAUCAUCAGUCGUUAUCUUGUGCUUGUAAGGGAUCCAAUAAUUCCAACAGCCAAUAAGCCUUUUAAGACAAGCAUUGUGUUUACACUGGAUCAAGGUCUUGGGGUUCUGUUUAAGGUUUUGGCCAUAUUUGCAUCGAGGGACAUAAAUUUAUCCAAGGUAUAUCUCAGUUUGUUAGUCUAACUCAAUAGAUGAUGAUUAAAAGACUAUUAACAAUAUGUGCUACGGAAUCAUAUUGAAAGUCGUCCUCAAAGAAAUCAUCCACUAAGAGUUGUCGAUGAUUCCAACACUGGCAUUGCCAAGUGAGUUAUGUUUUUAACAUUACAUUGUGUUUCUAAGAUGCAAGCAUUGAAAUAGUAUAUUUUUUUUAUUCGACAUUGAGUUAGGUACUUUGAUUACCUUUUCUAUAUUGACUUUGAAGCGUCCAUGACUGAGCCUCGGCGCAAACCGAAUUAGAACAUCUGCAGGAAUUUGCCACAUUUCUUAGAGUGCUUGGGACCAAAUUUAGGUUUGUUUAUUCCAUAUGAAAAGAAAAAGACAAUUACACGAGUUCAAGACGCAAGACAGAAUAAUGAAAAGGUCCUUGCUCCAUCAUUCCCAGAUGGUCGUCUUAGAGAACAGUGGUAAUCUUGAAAAAGGCAUUCAAGCUCUUGCUCAGAGUUUUCCUUGGAAGAAUAUGAACAAAGACAUAGAUGUUAUGUCCAAAUCAUAGCAAAAUAUCCAACUGAAUGCUGAUGCUACUGCAUUUUCAGGACUUGGUUCUUCUUUUCUUAACAUCU